AGAGUUUGAUCCUGGCUCAGGAUGAACGCUGGCGGCGUGCCUAACACAUGCAAGUCGAGCGAUUCUCUUCGGAGAAGAGCGGCGGACGGGUGAGUAACGCGUGGGUAACCUGCCCUGUACACACGGAUAACAUACCGAAAGGUAUGCUAAUACGGGAUAACAUAAGAAAUUCGCAUGUUUUUCUUAUCAAAGCUCCGGCGGUACAGGAUGGACCCGCGUCUGAUUAGCUAGUUGGUGAGGUAACGGCUCACCAAGGCGACGAUCAGUAGCCGACCUGAGAGGGUGAUCGGCCACAUUGGAACUGAGACACGGUCCAAACUCCUACGGGAGGCAGCAGUGGGGAAUAUUGCACAAUGGGCGAAAGCCUGAUGCAGCAACGCCGCGUGAGCGAUGAAGGCCUUCGGGUCGUAAAGCUCUGUCCUCAAGGAAGAUAAUGACGGUACUUGAGGAGGAAGCCCCGGCUAACUACGUGCCAGCAGCCGCGGU
rnacentral:rRNA from 1 species